UGCCAGCAGCCGCGGUAAUACGGAGGGUGCGAACGUUAAUCGGAAUUACUGGGCGUAAAGCGCGCGUAGGUGGUUUAUUAAGUGGGAUGUGAAAGCCCCGGGCUUAACCUGGGAACUGCAUUCCAAACUGAUGAACUAGAGUACGAUAGAGGGGGGUAGAAUUCAGAGUGUAGCGGUGAAAUGCGUAGAUAUUCUGAGGAAUACCGGUGGCGAAGGCGGCCCCCUGGAUUGAUACUGACACUGAGGUGCGAAAGCGUGGGGAGCAAACAGGAUUAGAUA
rnacentral:rRNA from 1 species